rnacentral:misc_RNA from 1 species
GCGCCUUCUGAUCUGCGGUGGAUCUGUAUUAUGUCGUGGUACAUUGGUCGGAAUCGAGACUGAAAUGCCCUGUAGGAAAAGUAUGGUAGCAGGGUGGCAAUGACAACAAGAAGAGUGACAAGCCAGUAGAGAGGGCUUGGAGAACAGGCUUCCACAAGAACUCUAUGUGCUGUUGUAGAUACAAUAGGUGAAAUGGAACCAUAUAUCACCAAAAAUAUGUACCAGAAGGCUGUGCUUCCCCAGAUGAAGAAGUGCUGGAUCCAAGUGAAGUAGUUGAUGGACAAUGCCAUUUGGCAAUUUACAGUCCACACUACGCAUGUAUACAUUGUGGCCCCGAGGAUCCCGUAGUCAACCACUUGACCAUCUCGCCGGAAAGCCUGAUUAAUCAUGGAGUUGGUGGUGAAGAAGAAGAUAAUUAUGGAACUAAGGACUGCAUUACACAUCCAACCAAGAAUACGAGGCCAGCUGAAGAGGAUGUUUUGUACUCCCUCUUGAUAUAAUAAUGGAUACUUAAGGCAAAGUCUCGCAGAGACAUCCUGAUCGAAAACACCGAGAGCAAUUACA